rnacentral:rRNA from 1 species
UACGUAGGCAGCAAGCGUUGUUCGGAAUUACUGGGCGUAAAGAGUGUGUAGGCGGUGCUCUAAGUUCGGUGUGAAAUCUCCCGGCUCAACUGGGAGGGUGCGCCGAAAACUGGGGUGCUGGAGCGCGGGAGAGGAAAGGCGGAAUUCCUGGUGUAGCGGUGAAAUGCGUAGAUAUCAGGAGGAACACCGGCGGUGUGAGACGGCUUUCUGGACCGUAGCUGACGCUGAGACACGAAAGCGUGGGUAGCAAACAGG